rnacentral:rRNA from 1 species
GGCGCACGGGUGAGUAACACGUGGAUCAUCUACCUUCUGGUGGGGAAUAACCUGGGGAAACCCGGGCUAAUACCGCAUAAGUCCGAGAGGAGAAAGCCGAAAGGCGUCAGAAGGGGAGUCCGCGGCCGAUUAGCUAGUUGGUGAGGUAAAAGCUCACCAAGGCGACGAUCGGUAGCCGGCCUGAGAGGGCACACGGCCACACUGGCACUGAAACACGGGCCAGACUCCUACGGGAGGCAGCAGUGGGGAAUCUUGCACAAUGGGGGAAACCCUGAUGCAGCGACGCCGCGUGAACGAUGAAGCCCUUCGGGGUGUAAAGUUCUUUCGGCAGGGACGAUUAUGACUGUACCUGCAGAAGCAGCUGCGGCUAACUACGUGCCAGCAGCCGCGGUAAUACGUAGGCAGCAAGCGUUGUUCGGAAUUACUGGGCGUAAAGAGCGCGUAGGUGGUUGGCUAAGUUUGGUGUGAAAUCUCCCGGCUUAACUGGGAGGGUGCGCCGAAAACUGGCUGGCUAGAGUGUGGGAUAGGGAAGCGGAAUUCC